rnacentral:tRNA from 1 species
GGAGGGGUCGCAUAGUUGGUCUAGUGCACCUGUCUUGAAAACAGGAGUGCCGCAAGGUACCGUGGGUUCGAAUCCCACCCCCUCCGCCA